GCAGCUGACACAGGAGGAAAUCUUCCAGAGGCGGUGAACCUGAACGCCUCGCCGCCCCCUGGUGGUUCUCACAAGACGCUUUAUUAAAUGAACCACUGGCAAAGUGCAGCACUAGUGCCGUGUCAGCGGGGGAAUCCUCUUCUCCCCGCUCAAUUGAGACUUCAAACCCAGCUGCUCGGCCGCUCUGGAUAAGUACAGGUUAUGAUGCUGCCUACGCACAGCGGGCCGGCCGACAGGAGCCCCCCCUCCAGCUGCUGUCGCAGACGGCAGGAUGAGGAUGAUGCAGCACGCGGUGGCGUCUUGCAGCUGGUGGAGGAUUGUGUUAACUUCAGUCAUCACAGCUGACACUGGUCUGGCUGGACAUCACUUCCUGUUUAUGAUUGUUAAUGUUUGGACAGAUGAAUUUCCAGGAACCCAGAGACGACCUCGGCUCCAGCCUGAUUCGGGUCAACCAGGCAACGGCGGCCAUCUUUCUGCAGACCCACCCAGUGUGGGGAGACAUCCUGAGGUCGGCGCCAUGCGAGUCGUGAUGGAGGCCUGUGUUCUGACUCCAGGCAUGAAAAAACUAUUAAAUAAAAAAUAAACUCCUACAAAA